GGAAGAAAAAGUCGUAACAAGGUUUCCGUAGGUGAACCUGCGGAAGGAUCAUUAUUGUAUAACCGAGGUGCGAGGGCUGUCGCUGACCCGAAAGGUCGUGCACGCCCGAGUGCCCUCACACACAUCCAUCUCACCCCUAUGUGCACCACCGCGUGGGUCCCCCUUUGGCUUGUUCGGAGGGGGGCUUACGUUUUCACACAAACUUUGUAUGCAGUGUAGAAUGUAUUUUUUGUUUUUGCGAUCACGCAAUCAAUACAACUUUCAACAACGGAUCUCUUGGCUCUC
rnacentral:misc_RNA from 1 species